CUGAAUCACAAAUUCUGGAGGUGGGGCCCAGCCAUUUGUGUUGUAACCAGCUCUCCAGGUGAGCAGGCUAAGACUUGAGAGUUGUUGCCCUGAGAGACUAUUUGUUCCAGGAACUUCACCUCCUUAUUGAUCAGCAGCUAGGAGCUUUGCUGACAUCCCGAGUCUCUUGUUGCCCUGACUUCGCUUGGCCACAGAAGGGCUCUUUUCUCCAUGGCUCCCUGGUCUGGUGUGGAGCCACAGGAGAGCCAAGACCAAGCUGUUGUUCAUGCAGAGCAGCGUGCUGUGAGUCAGUGAGGGGGCUGCCCGCCAUCCCACCUUCCUGACUGUGCUGGGCCGUAAGAAGGGGCCUCUCUUCUCACCCGCAUGAAGUUGAAGACCAGUUUUCCAAAUGAUGGACGCAUUUAGCAUCAACUUUCCCAGUGAAAAUGGAGACAAUGGGAACUACUUCAAAGAGAUGUUGACAUGACUCGUGAUCAUUAUGUGGAGGGUCUGGUAUAGAACAGGAUGCAAAAAAUAUUGAGUGGGAUCAAGUGGAAAAAAACUGCUAUGAGGGAGGCCGAGAGGGAGACUUUGUUAUUUCCCCUUUGAUUUAUAAUCUGAUACUCAUUCUCUACAAAGGGUUUACUACGGAUUGGAUAUGGUUUGACCCCAUGGCGUGUCCCCCAAGGUUUGAUGUGGUAGAAGCUUGUUCCCAGUACAUCAGUGUAAGAGUGGUGGGACCCUUAGAACAGUGAUGGCGAACCUUUUAGAGCUUUCAGUGCUAACAAACAGUUGACUGCAGGACACGUGCCAUAGGUUUGCUACCACUGCCUUAGGAGAUAGGGCCACUUGGAAGGAGGUUAGGUCAUGGGGGAAUCAUACUGAGAAGAGGUUAAUGUAGUUCUAGUGGCGCACUGGUUAGUUCCUUUGAAAGCAGGUUUUUAUAAACUGAGGGCACUCUAUGUACUUGGCUCCUUCUCUACAUGCUUAUUUUCCUUCUUGCUUUUCUGCCAUAUUGUAACGCAGCCAAGGAGGUCCUCACCAGAGGUAGGACAGAUAGAGCCACUUGUUCUUGGACAUUCAACCUACAAAACUAUGAGCUAAAUAAACCCC
ensembl:lncRNA